UACUAAAAAUACAAAAAAAUUAGCCGGGCAUGGUGGCAGGUGCCUGUAGUCCCAGCUACUUGGGAGGCUGAAGCAGAAGAAUGGCGUGAACCCGGGAAGCGGAGCUUGCAGUGAGCCGAGAUGGCGCCACUGCACUGCACUCCAGCCUGGUGACAGAGUGAGAAUCCAACUCAAAAAAACAAGUUUUCUUUUGCCUUUGUAUUAAUGAACUAGAAGAGUUCCUAACCUAUUCUGAAUACUAAACCCUUAACAGAUAUAUGACUGGCAAACAUUUUCUCCCUGUUCUGAGUGGCUGUCUUAGUCAGCUCAGGCUGCUGUAACAAAAAUAUCACAGACUGGGCAACUUAAACAGCAAACACUGAUUUCUCACAGUGUAAAGUACUUUUGUUGCAUCUAUUGAGAUGAUUAUGUGGUUGUUGUCCUUCAUUCUAUUAAUAUGAUACAUGACACUGAUUUUCACACGUUGAACCAACUUUGCAUUUCUGGGGGAAAUCCUACUUAGUCCUGACACAUAAUCCUUUCUAUAUUUUGUUUUCUUAGAUUUUCUUCGUUUUCUAAGAUUUUGUUGAAUAUUUUGGCAUCUAUUUUCUCUCAUCUGGAACAAUGGUCUAUGGUUUUCUUGUGAUGUCUUUGUCUGGUUCAAGGUUAUAUCAAAGUUAUACUGGCCUCAUAGAAGGAGGUGGGAUGUAAUCCCUCCUUAACUGUUUUUAGAAGAGUUGGUAUAAAUUUCCCGAAGAGAAGGGAGACUGGUAGAAUUGGUUUGGGCAGCAGGUGUUAAGAUGAUAAGCUCAGAUCUAAAUAUGCCAAGGAGCUGGGCAUGGUGGCUCACACCUGUUAUUCCAACACUUUUGGAGGCCCAGGAGGGAGGAUUGCUUGAGCCCAAGAGAUGGAGACCAGCCUAGACAACGGAGCUAGAACCUAUCUCUACAAAUAAAAAAAUUAGCCAGACACGGAAGCAGGCGCCCGUGGUCCCAGUUACCCAGGAGGCUGAGGCAGGAAGAUCGCCUGAGCCCAGGAGGUCAAGGCUGAAGUGAGCUGUGAUCAUGCCACUGCACUCCCGCCUGGGUGCCAGAGUGAGAUCCCAUCUCUAAAAAUAAUAAUAAUUUUAAUAAUAAUAAUUUUAAUGCCAAAGUGCCUUGCCAAGUGGGUAUGUUUUACAGGCUACUGGAUACAGGGCUCUGGGGUUGGGAAGAUACCUGCCUGGGAGUCAUCAGUAUACACAGAGGGUCCUAUCAGUCCACUAGACCCUGUGAGAGCACCAAGGCAGCGGUGCUCACAGCAACACCCAGGGCCAAGGACUGAGCCCAGGGGGAAACGCGAGGAUGGCGCUCUAGGAGCCCGAGGGGGUGAGCUGUGUUCCAGCCCUGUGAGAGGUCGAGAUGGGCAGCAAGAAUCCAUCAUGGGUCUCAGCAGUGUCUUGGGGUUACCUGGUGCCCUGACUAUAGCACUGUGAUGGGGGUAAAACCAGAUGAGAAGCAAUUCCAGAGACCCCAAGGCAGGGCUGGCUCAGACAGAGGGGACCUGUGGGUCCCGCACACAGUUAACCAGAAGACGGCGCGCGUGCCUCUUCGUGGAUAACCAGGAGACGGCGCGCGUGCCUCUUCGUGGAUAACCAGGAGACGGCGCGCGUGCCUCUUCGUGGAUAACCAGGAGACGGCGCGCGUGCCUCUUCGUGGAUAACCAGGAGACGGCGCGCGUGCCUCUUCGUGGAUAACCAGGAGACGGCGCGCGUGCCUCUUCGUGGAUAACCAGGAGACGGCGCGCGUGCCUCUUCGUGGAUAACCAGGAGACGGCGCGCGUGCCUCUUCGUGGAUAACCAGGAGACGGCGCGCGUGCCUCUUCGUGGAUAACCAGGAGACGGCACUGCCUCUUCAGGUCACAGGGAUGGGGCAGGGGGUCUGGUGCAUGAACAAAGGCUGGCCUUGGGCGGGGCACACAUGACAUAUCUCCAGUAACAGAAAGGAGACAGUGAGCACAAGCAGGCAGGCGACAGACAGGGCCAAGCCGCGAGCAGAGCACAAGGACGGGGCAGGCAUGGGGGGCUCAUGGAGAAGGAGGGGCAUAUGGAACAUGGACUCAAGGAUAAACGUGAGAAACAGAAAUCGAGAAAACCUCCGAGUUCUCGGCU
rnacentral:lncRNA from 1 species